GUGCUUCAGGGAUGAACAAGUCCCUGAUAUUUAAUUCAAUCCAUCUAUAUCACUUUGUCAGCAGUGUGCUUCUGUUUCCUGCUGAUCAUUAAGGGGUGGAAUAUGC